rnacentral:lncRNA from 1 species
AAACUAAGGGACAAAGGGAGGGGGGGGAUGACCUCUCUGAUCCCUACAGCCUCCAAUUCUGUGACGCAACUUCCAUCACUGCAGGGAGUGGGGUUCUGCCAACAUACCUCCAUCUUGAUCCCUCAGAAAAAAAACUGCCACAAGGAGACAUUUAUUUGCAAGAUUCUCGAGCUUGGCCGAACCCAGAGGUGCAUCCUGCAAGUUUUCCAGAUGAAUGCCUGGUAA